GGAGGCUGGUACCUGAGGACCUGGGUUUAAGGUUGUCCAUAGCUACGUGACUAGUUGGAAACCAGCCUGGGCUACACAAAGCACUGUCUCAGAAUAAGGAAAAAAAGAAAACGUUCGUGAAAUUUCAAAUUCCGGUUAAUUAAGACUACAAUUAAAUUGGAAUUUUAAAAGCCAUCAACUGUCAAUAGCUGCUUGGUUAGGGGCCAGCACUUCUGGACCUCUGGCUGCGGCCUGGGACACAGAGCUUAUAUGAGUUUCCAAAACCAGAUCUGAUGGACUAGAGAGAUGGCUCAGCCACUAAGAGAGAUGACUGCCCUAGCAGAAGACCAGAGAUAUCUCUGUUUUCAGCACCCAUGUUGGACAUCUUAGAACCAUCUCUAAAUCCGGCUCUAGGUGAUCCAAUGUCUUCUUCCCAGACUCCAAGGGCACCUGUACUCAAGUGCACAAACCCA
rnacentral:lncRNA from 1 species